rnacentral:misc_RNA from 1 species
GAUGAAGAACGUAGCGAAAUGCGAUAAGUAAUGUGAAUUGCAGAAUUCAGUGAAUCAUCGAAUCUUUGAACGCACAUUGCGCCCCUUGGUAUUCCGAGGGGCAUGCCUGUUCGAGCGUCAUUAUAACCCCUCAAGCUCAGCUUGGUGUUGGGGCCUGCCGCACGGGCAGCCCUUAAAAUCAGUGGCGGUGCCAUCUGGCUCUAAGCGUAGUAAUUCUUCUCGCUAUAGAGUCCCGGUGGAUGCUUGCCAUUAACCCCCAAUUCUCUAUGGUUGACCUCGGAUCAGGUAGGGAUACCCGCUGAACUUAAGCAUAUCAAUAAGCGGAGGA